rnacentral:rRNA from 1 species
AUUGAACGCUGGCGGCAGGCCUAACACAUGCAAGUCGAACGAGUGGCGGACGGGUGAGUAAUGUCUGGGAAACUGCCUGCUGGAGGGGGAUAACUACUGGAAACGGUAGCUAAUACCGCAUACCAUCGGAUGUGCCCAGAUGGGAUUAGCUUGUAGGUGGGGUAAAGGCGCCCCAAGGCGACGAUCCCUAGCUGGUCUGCGAGGAUGACCAGCCACACUGGAACUGGGACACGGUCAAGACUCCUACGGGAGGCAGAAGUGGGGAAUAUUGCACAAUGGGCGCAAGUCUGAUGCAGCCAUGCCGCGUGUAUGAAGAAGGCCUUCGGGUUGUAAAGCACUGUCAUCGGAGAAGCGUUACCCACACAAGAAGCACCGGCUAACUCCGUGCCAGCAGCCGCGGUAAUAC